AGCUUGCAAAUCAUAAAGAGGUUGGCAUAAUUUUUUUUGAUUGUGGCGAUCAACUAAAACCAUGAGCUCAACUACCCUACCAAAUGGGAUUGUAGUCAUGACUGUAGUCUAUCCGCAGAAUGGUGCUGGAACUCGCACAGGGAAACCAGAACCCAACAUUCCCAAUGAAAUUGAAAAUCUAAACAUUCCCAAAGAAGUCACAGAUCCCAAAAAUCCUGGACAGGUUAUACUAUCUGCUUGGCUGCAAAACUUCAUAAAGAGCAAAUGGAAAAUCUUUGGGCCCAUAAUAGUGAUUCAGACUCCUGAGAUUCUUCAACCCAGCCAGAUUCCUCUGACGUCAUCAUAUAACAUGGAUUUUCAGCAUACCCCUCCUUACAGCUCUGAUACGAGCGUAUCAAAUGAGAUUGCAAGUCCUGAUAACACUUCAGAGAACAAUACACGUUUCCUGACUACAUCAUCUCAUUUGUUGUCACAAGAUAACUAUGUCCCUGUCUUAGAUGUUGGAGCACCACUUCAAAAUUAAGAGUUGUGUUCUUACAAAAUCAGCAGCAUGGAACUGGCAUUUAGUCUUAUUUUUCUUAUUUCUUCAUUGAAUGUAAUCAUUAUUUCACAUAGUUUCUUUGCUUGUAAGAUGCAGCAGGAGCAAUACAUGAAUAUUUAGGCUGUGGCUUACUUAAUGAUAUUAGAUUAUAGCACAUCUUGCUGUGAUCCACUGUAGUUCUUGUGAGGCAAUUCACAAAAAAAAAAAAAAAAUCAAGGCUGUGGUAUAAUUUGUCAUGUGAGUAAGUGUUUCCCUGUGUCCAGAUGUACUCAAAAUUGGCUCUGUGGUGCCAAGGGAUAAAACUCUGGCUAUGACUGAAAUAGCCCAAGGCCAGAAUUGAUUAAUGGUCCUGCCACUGGAGAAGCUCACUGUGGAUGAGUGAGUAUUAAAAGGGAGAAUUCUACUCACCUCUCUUGGCAUGGGAAGGGAUGUACAUAUGCCCAUAGAUAAGUAUUCUAUUUGCAUUCCUAAGUAAAGACUGGAGAACCCAUAGUCUCUUGCAAAGUUGUUUGUGGGCUUACGUCAUUAAUAGUAGCAAGUACUUGUCAGGUCCUAUACCCAUUCAGUAUCAAUCCCACAUCACUACUUGGCAAACAUGGAAAAUAACUGAAGAGCUAGUAAGAAAACAUCUGCUUUCCACCAAGAAUGGUGACAUGACUCAACUCAUUCAGUCCUUACCCUGAAGGGUUGUAGGGAUCUCAGUGGGUGUCACAAAUAGGUCACCUGAGUGAUAAUGGAAAGAACUGAUUUCAAGUGAGGGAAUCGGGAACAAAAAUGAAGUCUGCUAUGGUAUGCCUCAUCAUAGUUAUAGCAAUAGAACUGCCCUCAGGUGAAGUUAGUCAUGGGAGAGAAAACACGAGGGAAGCUGAUUUGAAUUGUAUAUUGUGGGAGAAGGCUGCAUUGAUCUGUCAAAGCUUGAUUUGGUUUCUGUAGCUGUAUCAAUAUAGAGAUUCAUUAAUAAAGGAAUCACAGUUCA